rnacentral:rRNA from 1 species
GACGUAGGAUGCAAGCGUUGUCCGGAUUUAUUGGGCGUAAAGAGUUCGUAGGUGGUUUGUUAAGCCAGCUGUGAAAUCCCCGGGCUCAACCUGGGAACUGCAUUUGUGACUGCACGGCUGGAGUGCGGCAGAGGGGGAUGGAAUUCCGCGUGUAGCAGUGAAAUGCGUAGAUAUGCGGAGGAACACCGAUGGCGAAGGCAAUCCCCUGGGCCUGCACUGACGCUCAUGCACGAAAGCGUGGGGAGCAAACAGG